UGGGGAAUUUUGGACAAUGGGCGAAAGCCUGAUCCAGCAAUGCCGCGUGUGUGAAGAAGGCCUUCGGGUUGUAAAGCACUUUUGUCCGGAAAGAAAUCCUUGGCUCUAAUACAGUCGGGGGAUGACGGUACCGGAAGAAUAAGCACCGGCUAACUACGUGCCAGCAGCCGCGGUAAUACGUAGGGUGCGAGCGUUAAUCGGAAUUACUGGGCGUAAAGCGUGCGCAGGCGGUUUGCUAAGACCGAUGUGAAAUCCCCGGGCUCAACCUGGGAACUGCAUUGGUGACUGGCAGGCUAGAGUAUGGCAGAGGGGGGUAGAAUUCCACGUGUAGCAGUGAAAUGCGUAGAGAUGUGGAGGAACACCGAUGGCGAAGGCAGCCCCCUGGGCCUGUACUGACGCUCAUGCACGAAAGCGUGGGGAGCAAACA
rnacentral:rRNA from 1 species